UUAUUUUUAAUAUUAUGUUGUAUUUGAUGUGCUAUCCUAUUCAUUUAGUAUAAGCACAUUUUUCUUUAUGUCUUCAGCAUAAUUAUAUGCUUUUUCAGAAUUUUAACAUCAGGACUGCUUCCAGAUUAGCUUCAUUGCCCUUUGUCUUAAGUAUGGAUUAUAGUUUUCAUUCUUUGUAUGUCAAGUAAUUUUGGAUUGUAACUUGAACUUUGAAUAUACUGUAGAAACUCUGAAUUCUAUUUUAUUCUUCUAAAACAAUAUUUCUCAGCUUCAGCACUAUUGACAUUUUGAACUGGGUUAUUUUGUUUGUGUUGUUGUGUGUGUUUUGGGAGGGUACUGUUCUAUAUGCAUUGUGGGGUACUGAGUAUUAUCCUUUGUCUCCACUCACUACUUACCAGUAGCAUAACUCUCUCUCCUCCCCGCAUCCCCUGCCAAAAAAUGCCUUCAAUCCUUUCUAAGCGCUCUUUUUUAUGGUGUUGGGGCCAAAAUCAUACAUCCUUACUCAGUCUUUCUCAUUGAGAGCUAUGGCUGUAAAGGGUAGUGAUGCUUUUACAUAUUUAUUUUUAAGGCAAGCCGUUAACUUAGCUGGAUUCAAAUUCCAGGCUGCCUCGUGUGCUGUGGGAAGCAGCCUACACUCUAUUCAGUUCUUUUCUUUUCAUAUUGGUUGGGUUACUUUGAGUCUGGCCUACGUGAUGGGCGGUUUAGAGGUCAACCAAAGGAUUUCAGCAGAACUUAUACACAGAAUUUCAUUCAGGCUUCCCGUGUCUGAUUCUCCACAGUGUGGGAAUUUCCUCCCACUUUUCAGCCACUGUUGAGGAUGCCUUUUGGCAAAAUUCCUUGAAAUUGGAAACUUACAGGGAAAUUCCUUUCCUCCAAGAGUGCACUCUCCUCCAAUGUUGGCUUGCUUUUGGUUGUUCUCCGUGGUUUUAGAUAGCUGUCUUUAUUAUUAAUUCUGGAGUUUACAGUUGAUAUCUGUUGGGGGCUUAGUUUGAUAACACGUAUUUCUCAAUUACUAGUAGCCAGACCUGUAUGUCUUACUUGACCUGAUGGAGAAAAGUUUCAACUUAUGAGACAAUAAUGUGCUAGCUAGUUUUACUGAUUCGUACUCUAAAGUACCCAAGCCUAAAAUAGUAGAGCUGUCUAUCCCACAUGAAACUUCUCUGAUUUUCACUGUUUUUUAUAAAAAGUAUACAUGUUCAGAUUUCUGUAGGUUUUUUUAAGCAUCACAGUUUUUAUAAAUUUUCUGUAUUUCCAAGGUCUACCUGCUUUGUAUUUUGCCUAGCGAGAGUUUUGUAUUCAUGUAGGAAUAAUCUCUUGGUGUGAGUAUCUAUUUUCCACUCAUCCAAAACAGAUAGAGCAUUGAUUUCACUAAGCGUUAUGUUCUAGUUUGCUUUGGUAUUAUUAUUAGAAAUACCUGGUGAUUAAUUUGAGCUAACUAUUCUUCCCUACCCUCAUUCCCAGCAUUAUCACCCACUUUUCCACUUCCAAGGGGUGGAAGCAUUCUCCACAAUGCAUUUAUUCAUGCCAGAGAAAAAUCUAGAAACAAAUGAAUAAAAUGAAGAAAUUCUUUCCCCUUGGUAUCUGUAGCUAACUUGCCUAAGUGUUCUUUCCCACAGUUCAAGUCUUCAGUCCAUAGUUCAUAAGCAAAGGGGUGUAGCGAGCUCUGAUCUUGCCGGAAGAGAGAAUAAGUGAGCUACCCCAUGGUGGACAUUCUGGCCAUCUGAAAUGAGUCGAUGCAUGUGGCUUUUGUCUAAAGGCUACAAAUAAAAUGUAACCACUUUCUUCUUUGAGUAGUUGAUAUAACAAAUAGUUGAAACAGAAGUUUUGAUUGGCAAAUCAGGAUGUGGUAGAUACUUUAACAAAGAUAGAACUGUUACCAGUUUUAUGUGUUGCUGUUUGUAUCUCUUUCACAGUUUUGUAUAUCACAUCCUGGAAAGUGAAACAGAAAAUUAUUAAUCCAUUUUAAAUGACUAAAUUUGCCUUCAUGGUAUUUACAGUGAAAGAGUAAAUUAGAAAGUGAAUGGAUGACUGUUAAUGAGAAAAAGCAGGGUAAAAAGAUUUUAUUUAAUUAAUUGAAAAUAUUAGGGUCAAAACAUAGGCUUAUGUUAUGUUUUGUGAAUUGUGCUGUGUUGUAGACAUUUGGUGAGUUCUCCUAACAUAGAAUUGAUCUAGCUCUUGAAAUACCAUUUUUGAUUGAAUAUAAAUGGGAUAUAGGCACCUUACAACUUCACAAUUCGAGGAAGAUGAUGUGAAUCUUCCAAUUUUAUCUAUUUGAUUCAAAUGGUGUGUUUUUUCACAUUUCUCAUAAUUUCCACAUGUCAACUCCCAUGAUGAUCAUGCAGGAAAGCAGCAUGAUUGCACUUCUUGUAGUGCAUACCAUCACUAAAACAUAGUUAUUGUUUUUCUAUGGUCUUAAGAUAAAUUCAGAAACAGCAUACCAAUGUACAUAUAAGAUAAAUAAGCUUAUGUGGAACAAUAAGUGUUCUGUUCUGAGAAAUACCUUGAUUCAUAUUCUAAUGUCUGAUGUUAUUGGUAGUUCUCAAACUUCCCCAAUUCUGCUUUCAUCUAAAUUCAUCUUAAUUCAUCUUAUCUAUCUAUUGUUAAGUAAUCUAUCAGUCCAUUUUUAUCUAUCAUCUAUAUAUCUGUCUUUAUCAAUCAUUCGUCUGUAAUCUAUCUGUGCCAUUUGGCAUAAGAGACCGAAGGGCAUAGCAGUGGAAACUCAAAGGAGUUACCUCCAUGUGAAUGGACAGUGGUGAUGGUGAUCUGUGAGGUGGUGAUGUAUAAAAAGAAAAACUAGAAGAGAGCAUGCCCUAACUCAGGGACCUUGUCCAGCAGGCACUCUGGCCUUGUUACACUGUGCUUGAAUAUGAAAAAAAAAAAUCAAAAUAGUGCUGACAUUCUGUGUCUUCUGGGUCUGAGAAAACUUAGAGUAGAUAUGAUGACUGCCAUUUCAGUCUUUUGUAUUUCCACAUUUUAAAGCUCAGUUUUAAUUAUGUAGAAUUAUUUCUCCAGCCUGUGUUAAACUAGACCAUGGACUGGCAAACGUUUUUUUGUAAAUUGUCAAAUAUGCAUUUUCAGUUCUGAAAGCCUUGUGGUCUUUGUUGCGGCUAAGCUACUCUGCUGUUGUGUUAUGAAAGCAGCCAUAGGUAAUUUAUAAUUGAAUGAGUGCGCUGUGCCUUUCUUCCAAUAAAACUUUACAAAAGCAUCCUGUGGGCUGGAGUUUACCCUUUGGGAAACCAGAGCAUUGGCUAAACUGGAACCUGAAAAAAUAAUCACAUCAACUCAGCCACAUGGUAAUAAUAUUUAGGGUAUUAUUUCAACAUUUUCGUUUUCAUAAAAAUUUUUUUAGCUCUUUUGCCAAAUUCCGUUUGUGAGUGAUUCAGAUGACUACCACGUGCCAUUAACAUCACCUAAACAGUGCAAAACAAGCAUAGUAGAAGGAAUUGGAAUGAUAUAAACCCCUUGCUGUAAUAGUUAUAGUUGAUAAAUUAUGUUUCAAAAUUGAACCUAUUUCUUCCAAAUUUCAUCUAUAAAGUUCCAAGGAAUUCCAAAAUCUUGCCUGCCUUCUUUUCCCAGUUAGCAGUAUUGUCUCUGAGCAGCCAUGGUGGUAUCCAUCCUCCUUGGACAAUGAAUUUAGCCUAUUUUGACUUCAUUUGAGCAGUUGUAAUUGUUUCACCACAUCAGAGUAAGAUUACUACAUGCCAGAGCUAUUCUUUAAUGCAGCUUGUAAAAACAUGAUAGCAUCAACAAUAUACAUAGCAAAUGAAUGCCAUAUUUAAUCCAGUUAAAUGGUUUUUACAGAUUUGCUCGUUUGUUGAUGCUAUCUGCAUUGCAGUAAUUAAAGGUGAGGUAAAAAGAAUGAAUAAACUGCCAAGUUAAAAUUAAAUUUGGGCAGUUUCUCUUUUGCAGUAAUGUAUGUAUAUUUACUCAAAAUAUAUGCCAAAUUUAGUGUUGAAAGGCUCAUUCAAAUCAAUUGGGAAAGCAUGUAAAUGAAAAAUUCAUAAAAGAAAAGCAUUGCAAAUGGCCAAGAGCAUAGAAAAUGUGCUCAAUCUUAUCAGUCAUUAUAAGGAAAUAAUGAAAUUUGUGUCUAUAUGAAAUACUUAAAAUAUAUAUAAAAUAAAACAAUUAUUUGCUUUUUUUCACCUAUCAGAUUAACAGAUUAUAUGUGUUAACAAGGUGGGGAGAAUUUACAACUCCUGAUGUGUUAAAAUCUUUCAGGAAGGUAGUAGAAAAUAUAUGUAAGAUGGAAAUUAGCACUUUUGACCAACAAUUUUAGUUUUAGAUAUUUACCUAUAAGGAUAUAAUAGGAAGUGUUCAAAGAUGCAUGUAACCUUAAGGGUACUCAAUGUAGUGUUAAUUAUAAUUGUAAAAUAGUAAAUAACAUUUUUGUCAAAUCGUAAUGGUAGGAAAAUUAGUGAUGGCACAUUUAACCAAUUGAAUUAUAUUCAGUUAUGAAUACUGUGAUGCAUGUUCAAAUUAAUUGAUACAAAAAUCUAACAACUUUAGCAGUUUGUUUACCAGUUAUUGAGUACCAACUGUGUUCAACAUUGUUAUUUCACUCAUAUGAAAUGAUAAAUGUAUGUGCUUGUUAUGAUACGGUCAAUAAAACCACUUUUAUAGGAAGAAUACUCACAAAA
rnacentral:lncRNA from 1 species